rnacentral:lncRNA from 1 species
GACAAAACUGAGGGACCUUCUACAGGAAAUGACGUCAGACAUCAGUGACCAAAACACAAUGGCAGCUUUCUCAUCUGUUGGCUCCAAAUGUGACGAGAGGCUACAAGGCACAAUCAAAAACACCAUGAGAGCAACAGAGAAUGAUAAACCUUGUGAUCCACUCAGAGAAACAGUGGUAAAGGAGGACUCCAAAUCUGACACAAUAAUUAAACACGACUCUGAUGAUCCUGUUCGGAGUUCACCUCAUUUAUGGUCUUACCUCACAAGUCCUGCCAGAACAGAGCCUGUAAUCGGCUUAAAUAUGGUAACAGAGUUCCGCAGUUUCUCUGGUCAGAACUCUUUCCUGUGCUCAUGCUGUAAUUCAAUGCUGUCCACCAGGAGUUAUGUAGGCCAUUUGAUCGGCCCACGCCACCGCUUCAACUACAUGAAAGAUAAACACCCACAUCUAGUGGAAAAGUGGACAGACCAAGUCAGCUUGACCUCUAAAAUCUCAGAGCUCAAGGAAAAAGCACAAAUUGUGCAGGAUCUCGAAGGCUGGGGACACUUCAAGGUUGUGGAGAAGGACUCUCCAAAACAGAAGGAGCAGACUGCAACAAGUAAGAACAAAUAGAAAACUUUUUUUUUUACGUUUUUUUGUGUAUUAGUAAUGUAAUAGUAAUGUAUAAUGUGAUAUAUAUUAAUAAUCUGUUUAUAUAAUGCCCACAGGAACAGAUGGAAAUUUUAGUGUUUUUAACAGCAAAGAACUGAUUCUACCCCAAUGGAGUAAAGGAAAUAACUCCGAACGGUUAAGCUCAACUCUGCAAAUAUGGGCAAACAAAGGCAUAACUAGAGGGAAACGAGCAGCAUCAGGGGGGAGGGAUAGUCAGGCUUACACCUUUAUUAUUCCUUCUCUUUACUUUUUAAAGGUCUCAUUCCAUCUGUUGCAUACACAUAGAAUAAUUAUCUAUAUUCUGUUGGUUUAUGAAGCCUCACCAAUAGUCUAACAUUAAUUCCUCACUAGGUGUAUUUACUGCAGCGUAUGAAGCUUUUAGUUUCUUGUUCCCAUUUCCCUUCCGCCUUAAAACACAUUUCCAUUCCACCUUAGCAGUUUACCUGCAUUAAAACAAAUAUUAUCUAUGUUAAAUCACAGUUCCCUUUUUAGACUGUAGUAGAUAAUAAAUUGUUUUAAGAGUUUUAUACA